rnacentral:rRNA from 1 species
UCUGGGAUAACUCCGGGAAACCGGUGCUAAUACUGGAUAGGACUUCGCAUCGCAUGGUGUGGGGUGGAAAGUUUUUCGGCUGAGGAUGGGCCCGCGGCCUAUCAGCUUGUUGGUGGGGUAAUGGCCUACCAAGGCGACGACGGGUAGCCGGCCUGAGAGGGCGACCGGCCACACUGGGACUGAGACACGGCCCAGACUCCUACGGGAGGCAGCAGUGGGGAAUAUUGCGCAAUGGGCGAAAGCCUGACGCAGCGACGCCGCGUGAGGGAUGACGGCCUUCGGGUUGUAAACCUCUUUCAGCUCUGACGAAGCGAAAGUGACGGUAGGAGCAGAAGAAGCACCGGCCAACUACGUGCCAGCAGCCGCGGUAAUACGUAGGGUGCAAGCGUUGUCCGGAAUUAUUGGGCGUAAAGAGCUCGUAGGCGGUUUGUCGCGUCGAAUGUGAAAACCCGGGGCUCAACUCCGGGCCUGCAUUCGAUACGGGCAGACUAGAGUUCGGUAGGGGAGACUGGAAUUCCUGGUGUAGCGGUGAAAUGCGCAGAUAUCAGGAGGAACACCGGUGGCGAAGGCGGGUCUCUGGGCCGAUACUGACGCUGA